rnacentral:rRNA from 1 species
GAUGAACGCUGGCGGCGUGCCUAAUACAUGCAAGUCGAGCGAACAGACGAGGAGCUUGCUCCUUUGACGUUAGCGGCGGACGGGUGAGUAACACGUAGGUAACCUACCUAUAAGACUGGGAUAACUUCGGGAAACCGGAGCUAAUACCGGAUAAUAUUUCGAACCGCAUGGUUCGAUAGUGAAAGAUGGCUUUGCUAUCACUUAUAGAUGGACCUGCGCCGUAUUAGCUAGUUGGUAAGGUAACGGCUUACCAAGGCAACGAUACGUAGCCGACCUGAGAGGGUGAUCGGCCACACUGGAACUGAGACACGGUCCAGACUCCUACGGGAGGCAGCAGUAGGGAAUCUUCCGCAAUGGGCGAAAGCCUGACGGAGCAACGCCGCGUGAGUGAUGAAGGUCUUCGGAUCGUAAAACUCUGUUAUUAGGGAAGAACAAACGUGUAAGUAACUGUGAACGUCUUGACGGUACCUAAUCAGAAAGCCACGGCUAACUACGUG